GCCGCCAUAGCUCACAAUCAGUCGGUUAGAGCGUGGAUCUAAUAAGCCCAAGGUCCCAGGUUCGACCCCUGCUGGCGGCA
rnacentral:tRNA from 1 species